GACGAACGCUGGCGGCGUGCUUAACACAUGCAAGUCGAACGAAGUGGCGAACGGGUGAGUAACGCGUAAUCAACCUGCCCUUCAGAGGGGGACAACAGUUGGAAACGACUGCUAAUACCGCAUACUGAAGGAGGGGAUUGCGUCUGAUUAGCUAGUUGGAGGGGUAACGGCCCACCAAGGCGAUGAUCAGUAGCCGGUCGGAGAGAAUGAACGGCGAAAUUGGGACUAGGACACAGCCCAGACUCCGCAGGGAGGCAGCAGUGGGGAGUCUUCCGCAAUGGACGAAAGUCUGACGGAGCAACGCCGCGUGAGUGAUGACGGCCUUCGGGUUGUAAAGCUCUGUUAAUCGGGACGCGGUACCGGAAUAGAAAGCCACGGCUAACUACGUGCCAGCAGCCGCGGUAAUUC
rnacentral:rRNA from 1 species